GAGCUCGGUUCAGCAGCACAUAUGCUAAAAUUGGAACAAUACAGAGAAGAUUAGCAUGGUUCCUGUACAAGAAUGACACACAAAUUCAUUAAGUGUUCCAUACUCAA
rnacentral:snRNA from 1 species